rnacentral:rRNA from 1 species
AUUGAACGCUGGCGGCAGGCCUAACACAUGCAAGUCGAGCGGAUGAAGGGAGCUUGCUCCUGGAUUCAGCGGCGGACGGGUGAGUAAUGCCUAGGAAUCUGCCUGGUAGUGGGGGAUAACGUCCGGAAACGGGCGCUAAUACCGCAUACGUCCUGAGGGAGAAAGUGGGGGAUCUUCGGACCUCACGCUAUCAGAUGAGCCUAGGUCGGAUUAGCUAGUUGGUGGGGUAAAGGCCUACCAAGGCGACGAUCCGUAACUGGUCUGAGAGGAUGAUCAGUCACACUGGAACUGAGACACGGUCCAGAGUCCUACGGGAGGCAGCAGUGGGGAAUAUUGGACAAUGGGCGAAAGCCUGAUCCAGCCAUGCCGCGUGUGUGAAGAAGGUCUUCGGAUUGUAAAGCACUUUAAGUUGGGAGGAAGGGCAGUAAGUUAAUACCUUGCUGUUUUGACGGUACCAACAGAAUAAGCACCGGCUAACUUCGUG